AUUGAACAUGAUUUUUACCUCUCUGAAAAGACCAAUGACACAAAACCAUAGUGUCAGCUGUCUCUUUCUCUUUUGUAUAUUUCUUGACAGAAUUAUUACUGAUUUAAAAGAAACCAACUCAAAUUCAAUUCUGAAAACCCCUCCCUCCUUCCUCAAAACCACAGUAUGUAUCACUGCUAAAAGCAGAAAAAUGGAAGAGAGAAGGAUACUGACUGUUACACCCAGCAGGCGAUUCUGUUUCCUUUAGAGCAUCGGAGCUAAAGGCGUAAAUUUCACAGAACCAGAGGAACAAUCAGCUUGAAACUUGUUGAAUACAGUGAUGCUAAUUAAAAACUUCUUCUUGAUGGUGUGUUCUCCCCCAGUCCGCAUCCCAUCCACCUCACUACUUAUAUAACCUCCUGUGCCAGCACUUAGGACUUUAUGAGAUAUGGUAAACAUGUGGUUUCAGAAUUUUUGUUCAUGAAAAAUAUUUUAAGUCAAUUUAAUGUUAGGUUACAAUCAGAUACUAGACAAAAUAAUAGUUACUUUUGUUUAUUCAUCAUCCUUAUUCUUAAAACAUGUAAAGAAGAGGUCAAUUUUAGAAGAUUCUAAUUUAUGGGUGCACUGGAUAGAUAAGUUUUGGUUUUCCGGAGAUAGUGUUGUUUGAUAUGUGCAGAUUUGUAUCACAGUUUCAAUUGCUAUGGAAACAUGAUUACAAUAAAAAUAAAGCAAACUUCCA
rnacentral:lncRNA from 1 species